GGGCUUGUACCGGUUUCGACGGGGGUUUUGAAGCUAUGGAAGCCAUCCGUGGUCCGGGACCACGUUAAAACUCGGAAAUUAAAAUUAAACGCUGAAGAUAAUUUAGCAAUCGCUGCCUAAUGGCAGCUGUCAGACCUGAUGCACCUACACAUCAGGACUCUGGCAUCGACGAUGUAGGAAACGAUAUACGUUAAGCUUUGCACGUAUAGGCGUAUCAUGAAGCUACUGAAGCUUACAGCCUGUUUGCCGGCGGUAAGCGUAGGGAAUGUCAAAUGACAAACUAUGAUGGAAGAUGCCGUAGUGAAUAGGCUUUCGGACAGGGGUUCGACUCCCCUCAGGUCCAU
rnacentral:tmRNA from 1 species